rnacentral:lncRNA from 1 species
AGAUCGUGCUAUGAUUGGUCAGCGAAAUGUGGCUGUUAUCUGAUUGGCUUGAGUAGACGGUGGGUGGAGUCCACGUAUUUGUGGAUUGUUAGCACGCCUUGACACCAGGAAUUUUUUACAAUUCACAAAUACACAGGACGCGAUUCACAAAUGCAUGCAGCUAUCUACAAAUGCGCAGGACGCAAUUUAAAAAUAAAUGCCAGGCAAAGUUGUGGUUGUGACAUAAAUAUAUAUUUGUGGAUAUGUUUUUUUAUUUGCAAAUCUCAUUUUAUUUAUUUGUGAAUUUUGUUUGUGAAACUUUAAGAUUUAUUUGUGGAUCAUAAUCUAUUUAUUUGGAAUUAAGCAACAAUUCUAUCUCCAUAGAAAGAUGUCCAAAAGAAGCCACAUUCUUAUCCAUACAAUCAAAGUUUUACUGCAAAAUGCAAAUACAUUCCAAGCCACAAUGUAAAAGAAGUGAAGUGAAAUUCAAAAACGUGUUUUGUAUGAAAGGCUCUGAGUUGUAAGUUGAUUAAAAUGUUUCACAGCUGUAAUAUUAGGCUACUAGGGAGCUUUCAUGUCCAAACAAACUUUUAAGGCAGGUUUUGGAUCAAAAGCAUUGUUUGUUAUGCUGGUUGUCCUGAUAGCAAUCACUAAGUAGGUCCAAAUAUAUUUAUUAUAUCAUCUGUGGAAGGCGGACCAUAAAAAGUUCAUCCAAUCACAUCGCUCGGUCCGAGGGUUAUGAUAGGCUGUCCUACCUGACUGUCAAGGUGUUACGUCGCGCAUCCUAUUCGCGCAGAUGUCAUACGUCAUCAACGCGUUCCCGCUGUUCAGAUCGAGCGACAAUGGAAGGCAAACAGGAGCUCGCCAAAAAAAUAAAAUUAGAAGAAGAAGAGCAGCAAUGUCCUAAUGUCGCUUCUGAACCGACAAGAAGUUGCGCAGGCAAACGCUCGAGAAGAAAGACAGUCUAUGAAAAAGCUAUGACGAAAAGACGACUGGAGCAGGAAAGAGCUAAAACCCGAGUUACCAUCGGCGCUGCUUUUCCCCGCUGGAGACAACUGCGAGAGUCAAAGUGUCUGAAAACCGAUGCCAUGGUUGCACUUUUUCUUCUGGACAGUUACGAGAAAAGUACAACAUCCACACCUUUGCUGCAUGAAUUCAUAAAGCCACCACCAGAGGUUUCUACCGUUUUUUCCGAGUCUUCCUAUGAACAGCCUGAAAUCAAGUUUCUCAUUAAGGAGGAAGAGGAGGAGAAACCUACCUGUAAAAUUAAGAGUUUAUGA